GUUCCUUAAAGUGAAAGUUUAUUUCAUUUAUUUUUACAUUCGAUAACUUAUAUUUAGUCAUAGUUGUCAAUUUUUGUUCUAGUGUUGCCUUGAUGCCAUCAUCCAUUUGAUUCUGACAGACUCUCUGUAUAUGCUUAUUCAAGUUGUGUACUUUGGAGAAGCAUGUCAUCUAACUGCAUAUUGUUACCUUAGAAAUUAACUUAUGUGAGAAUUGAGGGGUAACAAAAUUAAGCAAGUUACUCAAUGAAUCUUAAAUCUAUGACUUAUCUGAACACAGACCACCACCCACCCACCUCCUGUCACCACUACUUUACUUCUUUUUUUUUUUUAAUGUGGUGCUAGGAAUUGAACCUUGGGCCUUAUGCAUUUGAGGCAAGCACUCUACCAACUGAGCUACAUCCCCAGCACAGCUACUGCUACUUUCUCUCUCUUAUUUAAGCUUACAUUGUCCAGCAUCACCUACCAGCAAUUCAAUGGUGGAGACUCCUUCAGUUUGUUUUCCUCAAAUACCAUCAUACAACCAUCCCAUAUGACCUAUAAUAAAAAAAAUUAUAUUAUUAUUUUUUACAGAAGCACCUUGAAGUCAGUAGCAUCUUUGAUUUUUUUAUAUAAAUUAUUUCAGAGUCUAUAGUUUCAAAUCUGGCAUCUUGUAUAAGAAAACAUUACGUGUGUGUGUGUGUGUGUGUGUGUAUUUGUUUUUGUUGUUCUUACCUGUCUUUUUGAUUUUAUGUAGUUUUUAGCAUUAUCACACAUCUGUCUUUUUAAAGUGUCUUCAGAUUGUUUUAAAAAAAUAUGCCCUCUAUGGAACAACAAGUGCAUUUACAUAUAUAAUGUACACAUACAUGCUGAUAGGAUUUUGG
rnacentral:lncRNA from 1 species